AGGAUGAUCCGCCACACUGGAACUGAGACACGGUCCAGACUCCUACGGGAGGCAGCAGUGGGGAAUUUUGGACAAUGGGGGCAACCCUGAUCCAGCCAUGCCGCGUGAGUGAAGAAGGCCUUCGGGUUGUAAAGCUCUUUCAGCCGGGAAGAAAUCGUACAGGCUAAUACCCUGUGCGGAUGACGGUACCGGAAUAAGAAGCACCGGCUAACUACGUGCCAGCAGCCGCGGUAAUACGUAGGGUGCGAGCGUUAAUCGGAAUUACUGGGCGUAAAGCGUGCGCAGGCGGUUUUGUAAGACAGGCGUGAAAUCCCCGGGCUUAACCUGGGAACU
rnacentral:rRNA from 1 species